UACGUAGGUCCCGAGCGUUGUCUGGAUUUAUUGGGCGUAAAGCGAGCGCAGGUGGUUUAUUAAGUCUGGUGUAAAAGGCAGUGGCUCAACCAUUGUAUGCAUUGGAAACUGGUGGACUUGAGUGCAGGAGAGGAGAGUGGAAUUCCAUGUGUAGCGGUGAAAUGCGUAGAUAUAUGGAGGAACACCGGUGGCGAAAGCGGCUCUCUGGCCUGUAACUGACACUGAGGCUCGAAAGCGUGGGGAGCAAACAGG
rnacentral:rRNA from 1 species